AUAUUAUCUGUAUUUUAUAAAGUGUUAUAUAUUACGCUUUUUAACUCGUGAGUAGUUAGGUGUUCAAAUUUUCGUCAAAGAAUUUAAUAUGUUACUAUCCGGAAGCUAGAAUAAUAAUAUUCUUGUAUUUGCGGUAACAGACAAUAAAAAUAACAAAAUGGUUUUUCUUUCCGAAACGAAAGGGUUUUCGCUGAAGAUCACGUGUUUUUGACACAAGAAACACCGU